rnacentral:misc_RNA from 1 species
GAAAAAAUAAGAAAAAUAAAUAUCUAACAACAUUCCAGCCAUCUACCAUCACAGGCAUCCAGAAAAUUCUGCAAUCACUGCAGUCUCAAACUUAAACAGGCAUUUAAAUUUCUUCUCAAGAUUGAUGCUUCAAUAUAAUAUCACCACAAACAUUUCAAUGGCAUUCAGGUGUGUUAGAACAUCCAACUAAAAGCUUACACCAGCAGAUGGUGAAGACUGCAGUAAACGGCUUACUUCAUUCUGAAUCCGUCUUCGAGCCAUUCAACAGGUUGCACAUUUCAUUCAUGAAAUCAACAAAAAUAACUCAUUAAUCUGACUAGAACAUAAAAUAAUUGGCAAACGUGAUAACCCACCACACAUCACUUUUCUUCAGGGAAAGACUUUGCUUUUGUGAAACUGGAAGUCACUGUGGUUUACCAUAGCCUAGUUGGAAAAGCAAGUUAAAAAAAUAAAAUAGAAAUUAGCUGCUUGCCUAAUCAGGGUAUGGGUACAACAUCCAAUCAACUUUGAAUUAUAC